rnacentral:rRNA from 1 species
ACGAACGCUGGCGGCGUGCUUAACACAUGCAAGUCGUACGGUAAGGCCCUUUCGGGGGUACACAAGUGGCGAACGGGUGAGUAACACGUGAGUAACCUGCCCACAACUUUGGGAUAACGCUAGGAAACUGGUGCUAAUACUGGAUAUGUGCCCCUGCUGCAUGGUGGGGGUUGGAAAGCUCCGGCGGUUGUGGAUGGACUCGCGGCCUAUCAGCUUGUUGGUGGGGUAGUGGCCUACCAAGGCGGCGACGGGUAGCCGGCCUGAGAGGGUGACCGGCCACAUUGGGACUGAGAUACGGCCCAGACUCCUACGGGAGGCAGCAGUGGGGAAUAUUGCACAAUGGGCGCAAGCCUGAUGCAGCAACGCCGCGUGCGGGAUGACGGCCUUCGGGUUGUAAACCGCUUUCAGCAGGGACGAAGCUUUUUGUGACGGUACCUGCAGAAGAAGCACCGGCUAACUACGUG